rnacentral:rRNA from 1 species
AACGAACGCUGGCGGCGGGUCUUAGGCAUGCAAGUCGAACGCGUGUAGCAAUACACGAGUGGCGCACGGGUGAGUAACGCGUGGGAAUCUGCCCAUCACUGGGGAAUAACGUUUGGAAACGAACGCUUAUACCGCAUACCCCCGAAAGGGGAAAGAUUUAUCGGUGAUGGAUGAGCCCGCGUUGGAGUAGCUUGUUGGUGGGGUAAAGGCCUACCAAGGCGAUGAUCCAUAGUUGGUCUGAGAGGACGAUCAGCCACACUGGGACUGAGACACGGCCCAGACUCCUACGUGAGGCAGCAGCUAAGAAUAUUGGACAAUGGGGGAAACCCUGAUCCAGCCACGCCGCGUGAGUGAAGAAGGCCUUCGGGCUGUAAAGCUCUUUUAGUCGUGACGAUGAUGACGGUAGCGACAGAAAAAGCACCGGCUAACUUCGUGCCAGCCGCCGCCGUAA